rnacentral:rRNA from 1 species
UACAGAGGGUGCAAGCGUUAAUCGGAAUUACUGGGCGUAAAGCGCGUGUAGGCGGCCUUGCAAGUCGGGUGUGAAAGCCCUCAGCUCAACUGAGGAAGCGCGCCCGAAACUGCAGAGCUUGAGUACCGGAGAGGAUGGCGGAAUUCCCCAAGUAGAGGUGAAAUUCGUAGAUAUGGGGAGGAACACCGGUGGCGAAGGCGGCCAUCUGGACGGAUACUGACGCUGAGACGCGAAAGCGUGGGGAGCAAACAGG